rnacentral:rRNA from 1 species
UACGAAGGGGGCUAGCGUUGUUCGGAAUGACUGGGCGUAAAGGGCGCGUAGGCGGUUAUGUGCGUCAGAUGUGAAAUCCCUGGGCUUAACCUAGGAAUGGCAUUUGAUACGGCAUAGCUAGAAUUCAAUAGAGGGUGGUGGAAUUGCGAGUGUAGAGGUGAAAUUCGUAGAUAUUCGCAGGAACACCGGUGGCGAAGGCGACCACCUGGGUCGAGAUUGACGCUGAGGCGCGAAAGCGUGGGGAGCAAACAGG